GCCAUCCUAUGAAUGGUCUUUGAUAGACAGACGUGGCUUCUCCUGCUACAAGCAUUCCUGGUCUAUCUUCGAAGUAGGAAACGCAGACAGAUAACUUCGACGGGCUAGCAAGAUCAUCUAAUUUUCUGUCAAUUGAUCAGACCUGACAACCAGGCAAGCCUACCUCCUCCUCCUCCUCUUAUUCUGAUUCUGAUUCUGAUCAUCUGAUCCAUCCC
rnacentral:lncRNA from 1 species